CUCUGCUGUGGCCUAUGGCUUUUCAUUCCUAUGUGAUUGCUGUUUCUAAUUCAUGUAGGGCUAAAAGCCAUGGGCUACAGUGAGGGGCGUGCUCC
ensembl:miRNA MIR135B microRNA 135b